AACGAACGCUGGCGGCAUGCCUAACACAUGCAAGUCGAACGAGACCUUCGGGUCUAGUGGCGCACGGGUGCGUAACGCGUGGGAACCUGCCCUUAGGUUCGGAAUAACUCCCCGAAAGGGGUGCUAAUACCGGAUAAUGUCUUCGGACCAAAGAUUUAUCGCCUUGGGAUGGGCCCGCGUUGGAUUAGCUAGUUGGUAGGGUAAAAGCCUACCAAGGCGACGAUCCAUAGCUGGUCUGAGAGGAUGAUCAGCCACACUGGGACUGAGACACGGCCCAGACUCCUACGGGAGGCAGCAGUGGGGAAUAUUGGACAAUGGGCGAAAGCCUGAUCCAGCAAUGCCGCGUGAGUGAUGAAGGCCUUAGUGUUGUAAAGCUCUUUUACCCGGGAUGAUAAUGACAGUACCGGGAGAAUAAGCACCGGCUAACUCCGUG
rnacentral:rRNA from 1 species